CCCACUUCUCUGAUCCACUUGCAGGGAACUUCAUUUCUCAGUGUCAGAGAGAACAACAACCCCCACCCGUAUCUCUGGACUUGCAUCAAUCUCCAGAAGGUGGGAAAGGAAGAAGGGGACUGCAGUCUGGAUCUACACAUGGGUUCUCUAAAUAGUGAGACAAAGGCUUGGGUGCAGAUCCACAAUCUCAGAAGGACCGCAGAAGGGCUGCCUACAGAGCAGCACGUUAAUCCACAGCCUUGUCUACGCUCAGAGGAUAAUGGCAAGGGGUCGACUAAGAAAAGAGAGUGACUGCACCAGUUUGCAUUCCCAUCAACCAACACUGGCCAACAUUGCAUCUCCCCGAGGCUCACAAAUGGGAUGCCAUAUGGAUUAGAUCCAAAGGCUAGAUUACUUGGUAAUCAUUAUUUCCUCAAUCAUUUUGGUUGGAAGAGACUGAGUGUAAACUACGUGGUGUUCCACUGGGAAAAUAAACAGGGGCCUGCCCACCUGCA
rnacentral:lncRNA from 1 species